rnacentral:rRNA from 1 species
AGCUUAAAAAUAAGGUAUUAAUCUAGUAAACCACUAUAUAAUGGCGGUCAUUUUAAAUUAGAGAAACUCGCUCCAUAAUCGUAAACACCCGAUAAAUUUUACUUGGUUUAAAUAGUUUAUAUACCGCCGUUAAGAAUUAUAUUCAUAAAUAAUACAAAAAUUAAAUAAAUAACAAAAAUCAGGUCAAGGUGUAACCAACAUCCAAGAGAGAGUAAGUUACAUUAAAAGUGAUUUAAGGAGAAUAAAUAAAAACUUUACAAAAAAAGAAUUUAUAUGUACAUACUGAUCAAAAUCUAAUAUAGAAAUUAAAAAUAAUGAUGC